UGGCGAACGGGGUGAGUAACACGUGGGCAACCUGCCCAAAGAGGGGGAUAACACUUGGAAACAGGUGCUAAUACCGCAUAACCAUAGUUACCGCAUGGUAACUAUGUAAAAGGUGGCUAUGCUACCGCUUUUGGAUGGGCCCGCGACGCAUUAGCUAGUUGGUGGGGUAAAGGCUUACCAAGGCAAUGAUGCGUAGCCGAACUGAGAGGUUGAUCGGCCACAUUGGGACUGAGACACGGCCCAAACUCCUACGGAAGGCAGCAG
rnacentral:rRNA from 1 species